GUGAGGGCUAUAGUUCAGCAGUAGAGCAUCUGGUUUGCAUGCAGAAGGUCCCCAGUUCAAUCCUCAGCACCUCCACA